AUACGGAGGAUGCGAGCGUUAUCCGGAUUUAUUGGGUUUAAAGGGAGCGUAGGUGGGAUAUUAAGUCAGCUGUGAAAGUUUGGGGCUCAACCUUAAAAUUGCAGUUGAUACUGGUUUCCUUGAGUACGGUACAGGUGGGCGGAAUUCGUGGUGUAGCGGUGAAAUGCUUAGAUAUCACGAAGAACUCCGAUCGCGAAGGCAGCUCACUGGGCCGGAACUGACACUGAUGCUCGAAAGUGCGGGUAUCAAACAGGAUUAGAUACCCUGGUAGUCCGCACAGUAAACGAUGAAUACUCGCUGUUUGCGAUACACUGUAAGCGGCCAAGCGAAAGCGUUAAGUAUUCCACCUGGGGAGUACGCCGGCAACGGUGAAACUCAAAUGAAUUGACGGGG
rnacentral:rRNA from 1 species